UACGUAGGGUGCAAGCGUUAGUCGGAAUUACUGGGCGUAAAGCGUGCGCAGGCGGUUUUGUAAGUCUGUCGUGAAAGCCCCGGGCUCAACCUGGGAAUUGCGAUGGAGACUGCAAGGCUUGAAUCUGGCAGAGGGGGGUAGAAUUCCACGUGUAGCAGUGAAAUGCGUAGAGAUGUGGAGGAACACCGAUGGCGAAGGCAGCCCCCUGGGUCAAGAUUGACGCUCAUGCACGAAAGCGUGGGGAGCAAACAGG
rnacentral:rRNA from 1 species